UUUAUUAAAACAUAACCAGAUCAGGUGAAAGUGCUAGAACUGUAACAAUUUUGUAACUUUGUGUGGGAACAGCAGGUGCAGAAAGACAACAUUCCCACAAACACACACACACACAG